rnacentral:misc_RNA from 1 species
UGUGGGAGCGGGCUUGCCCGCGAUGGCAGUGUGUCUGGCGAAAAAUAUGUUGGAUGCGUUGGCCUCAUCGCGGGCAAGCCCGCUCCCACA